AGGACGAACGCUGGCGGCGUGCUUAACACAUGCAAGUCGAGCGGUAAGGCCUUUCGGGGUACACGAGCGGCGAACGGGUGAGUAACACGUGGGUGAUCUGCCCUGCACUUCGGGAUAAGCCUGGGAAACUGGGUCUAAUACCGGAUAUGACCUCAGGUUGCAUGACGUUGGGGGUGGAAAGUAUUUAUCGGUGGCAGGA
rnacentral:rRNA from 1 species